CCUACGGGUGGCAGCAGUGGGGAAUAUUGCACAAUGGGGGAAACCCUGAUGCAGCGACGCCGCGUGAGUGAAGAAGUAAUUCGUUAUGUAAAGCUCUAUCAGCAGGGAAGAAAAUGACGGUACCUGAGUAAGAAGCCCCGGCUAACUACGUGCCAGCAGCCGCGGUAAUACGUAGGGGGCAAGCGUUAUCCGGAUUUACUGGGUGUAAAGGGGGCGUAGACGGCAGUGCAAGUCUGGAGUGAAAGGCGGGGGCUCAACCCCCGGACUGCUCUGGAAACUGUACGGCUGGAGUGCAGGAGGGGUAAGUGGAAUUCCUGGUGUAGCGGUGAAAUGCGUAGAUAUCAGAAAGAACACCGGUGGCGAAGGCGUCUCACGAGACCGCAAUUGACGCUGAUGCACGAAAGCGUGGGUAUCAAACAGGAUUAGAUACCCGGGUAGUC
rnacentral:rRNA from 1 species